ACAUCCCGGAGACCCUUAGGAAACUAGGGGUGGCUUCCAUCUGGAAGAAUCUGGAGACAGGUGCUGCAUGGCUGUCGUCAGCUCGUGUCGUGAGAUGUUGGGUUAAGUCCCGCAACGAGCGCAACCCUUGCCUUUAGUUGCCAGCAGUUCGGCUGGGCACUCUAAAGGGACUGUCGGUGUUAAACCGGAGGAAGGUGGGGAUGACGUCAAGUCCUCAUGGCCUUUAUGACCAGGGCUACACACGUACUACAAUGGCCGAUACAAAGGGCAGCGACACUGCGAGGUGAAGCCAAUCCCGUAAAAUCGGUCUCAGUCCGGAUUGGAGUCUGCAACUCGACUCCAUGAAGUUGGAAUCGCUAGUAAUCGUGGAUCAGCAUGCCACGGUGAAUACGUUCCCGGGCCUU
rnacentral:rRNA from 1 species